UACAGAGGGGGCUAGCGUUGUUCGGAAUUACUGGGCGUAAAGGGCGCGUAGGUGGCCUGUUAAGUCGAACGUGAAAUCCCCCGGGCUCAACCCGGGAACUGCGUCCGAGACUGGCAGGCUCGAAUCCGGGAGAGGGAUGUGGAAUUCCAGGUGUAGCGGUGAAAAUGCGUAGAUAUCUGGAGGAACACCGGUGGCGAAGGCGGCAUCCUGGACCGGUAUUGACGCUGAGGCGCGAAAGCCAGGGGAGCAAAGCGGG
rnacentral:rRNA from 1 species